rnacentral:rRNA from 1 species
GACGAACCGUCCUAACGUUGUUCGGAUUCACUGGGCUUAAAGGGCGCGUAGGCGGGCCCGAGGGUCCGGGGUGAAAUCUUUCGGCUUAACCGGAAAAGUGCCUCGGAAACCGCGGGCCUGGAGGGAGGUAGGGGCAUGUGGAACUUCUGGUGGAGCGGUGAAAUGCGUUGAUAUCAGAAGGAACGCCGGUGGCGAAAGCGACGUGCUGGAUCUCUUCUGACGCUGAGGCGCGAAAGCCAGGGGAGCAAACGGG